AGGCCUACGGGAGGCAGCAGUAGGGAAUCUUCCACAAUGGGCGAAAGCCUGGUGGAGCAACGCCGCGUGGGUGAAGAAGGUCUUCGGAUCGUAAAACCCUGUUGUUAGAGAAGAAAGGGCGUGAGAGUAACUGUUCACGUUUCGACGGUAUCUAACCAGAAAGCCACGGCUAACUACGUGCCAGCAGCCGCGGGAAUACGUAGGUGGCAAGCGUUAUCCGGAUUUAUUGGGCGUAAAGGGAACGCAGGUGGUCUUUUAAGUCUGAUGUGAAAGCCUUCGGCUUAACAGGAGUAGUGAAUUGGAAA
rnacentral:rRNA from 1 species